AUUGAACGCUGGCGGCAGGCCUAACACAUGCAAGUCGAACGGUAACAGGAAGAAGCUUGCUUCUUUGCUGACGAGUGGCGGACGGGUGAGUAAUGUCUGUGAAACUGCCUGAUGGAGGGGGAUAACUACUGGAAACGGUAGCUAAUACCGCAUAACGUCGCAAGACCAAAGAGGGGGACCUUCGGGCCUCUUGCCAUCGGAUGUGCCCAGAUGGGAUUAGCUAGUAGGUGGGGUAACGGCUCACCUAGGCGACGAUCCCUAGCUGGUCUGAGAGGAUGACCAGCCACACUGGAACUGAGACACGGUCCAGACUCCUACGGGAGGCAGCAGUGGGGAAUAUUGCACAAUGGGCGCAAGCCUGAUGCAGCAAUGCCGCGUGUAUGAAGAAGGUCUUCGGGUUGUAAAGUACUUUCAGCGGGGAGGAAGGGAGUAAAGUUAAUACCUGUGCUCAUUGACGUUACCCGCAGAAGAAGCACCGGCUAACUCCGUG
rnacentral:rRNA from 1 species